AGGAAUAUUGGACAAUGGAGGCAACUCUGAUCCAGCCAUGCCGCGUGAAGGAAUAAGGCCCUAUGGGUUGUAAACUUCUUUUAGACGGGACAAAACCCCUUUACGUGUAAAGGGUUGAUGGUACUGUCAGAAUAAGCAUCGGCUAACUUCGUGCCAGCAGCCGCGGUAAUACGGAGGGUGCAAGCGUUAUCCGGAUUCACUGGGUUUAAAGGGUGCGUAGGUGGGCAGAUAAGUCAGUGGUGAAAUCUUCCGGCUUAACCGGGAAACUGCCGUUGAUACUAUUUGUCGUGAAAAUUGCGGAGGUAAGCGGAAUAUGUCAUGUAGCGGUGAAAUGCUUAGAUAUGACAUAGAAAACCAAUUGCGAAGGCAGCUUACUACACAAUCAUUGACACUGAGGCACGAAAGCGUGGGUAGCGAACA
rnacentral:rRNA from 1 species